rnacentral:rRNA from 1 species
GAUGAACGCUGGCGGCGUGCCUAAUACAUGCAAGUCGAGCGAACUGAUUAGAAGCUUGCUUCUAUGACGUUAGCGGCGGACGGGUGUGUAACACGUGGGCAACCUGCCUGUAAGACUGGGAUAACUUCGGGAAACCGAAGCUAAUACCGGAUAGGAUCUUCUCCUUCAUGGGAGAUGAUUGAAAGAUGGUUUCGGCUAUCACUUACAGAUUGGCCCGCGGUGCAUUAGCUAGUUGGUGAGGUAACGGCUCACCAAGGCAACGAUGCAUAGCCGACCUGAGAGGGUGAUCGGCCACACUGGGACUGAGACACGGCCCAGACUCCUACGGGAGGCAGCAGUAGGGAAUCUUCCGCAAUGGACGAAAGUCUGACGGAGCAACGCCGCGUGAGUGAUGAAGGCUUUCGGGUCGUAAAACUCUGUUGUUAGGGAAGAACAAGUACAAGAGUAACUGCUUGUACCUUGACGGUACCUAACCAGAAAGCCACGGCUAACUACGUGCCAGCCGCCGCCGUAA